rnacentral:misc_RNA from 1 species
UGGUGAGAGUCAAUUAGUGUUGUGUGGUGUAGUCAGCAUGCAGCAUGGCCGUGUGGUGGUGCCUGCCCUCACCGUGUUACCUGGUUACUGUCGCAGGAGCUGCCCUCGUGCCCCGGACACCCCCCACGAUAGAAGAGCUUCUCUGGACCAUCCGAGACGCCUGGCCGCCCCCGCCUCCCCGCAGCCUCUCCCUUGACAGUGAGAAAAGAGACAGACCGAAAGCACCAACACUAGAGAUGGGAACAGGAAACAAACUCAAUGGGCAGUCAGCUCCUAAGAUGGGUCUUCCUUAUAGACGCUACUCAGUACCUGAAACCGUGAUGAGAAAGUACUCUCUGAGUCGAGCGCAGACUUCAGCGUCUGAUGUCGUAACAGUGCCCACACCAUCAGUGCCCAGCAUCGGCACCAGCCAAGACAGUGGGGGUACAAACACAAAGCGAAUGUCCCACAAGGCCUGCCAGACCACCCCACCUGAUAGCUUUGACUGUACCAAGACUAGUGUUGAUAACAUUCAACUUCCACACGGUCAGGAAGUAGCCAUCCCUACUGUCAAUAUUAUCCCUUCAGUUGAUUUCAGUACAAAAUUAGAAAAUGAAGAAGUAUUUUCAAAACAUAGUUCAAAUUCCAAUGAGUUUAGCCAAAGUGAGGAAAUUUCAGAUAGCCAUGGUUGUGUAAGCCAAGUGUACAGAAGUGAAAUCAGUCUACCUGGUGCAGUUGCAGAGACGUCAAUGUUCCUUACUGUUCCAGAACUUUUAUUAGAUCCUCAUGACUGUCCAAAAGUUAACAGCGAUGAAGAGGAUUUUAAUAGUGCCACUGUACAAUUUCAUGACACCAAAAAUAUUUGUGGGGUUGAGUCAGAUGAGAAAAGGUAUUUAGAUAUAAGUGAAAUUUUAAAUGAUGAGAACUUCAAAAAAAUGUUAUCGCAACAAACAAAAGAGCAAAGGAAAAGUUUUCUUCAAUCCAAAUCUAAAUCAGUCCCAGAAUCCUCAGAACCUCCACAAAGAAUAAAUCGAAGUGGAUCGGCGGGAGGAGAAACUCACACUGAUGUAAUGGUCAGUGCAGAAGAUCGAAAUAGUGACGACAUAUCUGUAGAAGGGACCCCAACGCCAGCCCUCACUUGUCACACAUUUGACUCCCAAAGAAACACAAGUGAGUGUUACAUAACUGACUGUGAUAUGUGCACAGCAGAGGGCAGAAAGUGUUGCAGUCUGGAUGAUUCCGGAUCACAAUCUUGUAGUUUCACCAGUCCCGAAAUGAUUACAACAAAUGAACUAAAAUCCUCGUCUGAUUACACUACCAGCUCGAUGACUCUUGAUCAAACUGUAAGCGACCGAACAAUAUCCACUCAAGACUCUACAGUCAGUUUGACAUCAAUAACACCAGAAAGUGGAGAAUCCAAAGGAAACAUCAACAUUUCACCUAUUUUAGUAAUAAACUCUGAGACAAUAAUAGUAGAUACAAUAUCUCCUAGAAACAAAACAAAAGAUAGAGAGAUAUUUCAUCCUUCUGAAUCAAGUCCAAGUGAUAGUUCCAAAUCUGAUUCCCAACCAGCUGAAUUACAUUUCUCUGAUUCAUUUCCAGCCAUAAUAAGCUGUGAAAGUGCUAUUGUAUCCAAAAUACAAGAUAAUAAUUUACUGAAAUGUGAAAAGUUAGACGGUAUUGAAAGAAAUAAUGAACUAUUGACCAUAACUGAAACUAAAAGUGUACUUGAAGAGCCUAUAUAUCCUGAGUUGAACAAUAAUGAAAUUGAUGUUAUAAAAGAAUCAAAUGAAGAAGAGGAACCACAGCCAACUGAAAAUUUAGAGCACUCAAGCACAAAAGAUAAUAAAGAAACUGAAACAAAAGGAGAGGUAGUAGGAAAUUAUUCUACAAAUUAUUUAUAUUUAACAGAAGAAGACUCUGGAACUAACUCAGAUCAAAUUGAAGCACAACGAGAGGUAAAAGGAAAUUAUGCAACAAAUUAUUUAUAUCUAACAGAGGAAGAAUCAGGAACUAAUCCUGAAGAAAUUGAAGCUCAUCGGGCAAUAAAAGGAAAUUAUACAACAAAUUAUUUAUAUCUAACAGAGGAUGAAUCAGGUGUUAACCCCGACUCUUUAGAAAUCAGCAGAAAGGAAUCUAAUGUAACAAAACAAUCCGAAGAUGACUUUGAAAUGGAUUCCCUUGCAAUAAAUGAGUCCACUGAAGAGGAUUCAAAUCUUCUUGAAAAUUUAGGAUUUUGUGAAGAUUUAUCAAAAAUUCAGUAUCCACCAAAUAUUAAUGCUGUCAUAGAUGCACCAAAAAAUGAGCCCAGUGAUACAAAUGUACAAGAAAAAUUUUAUGGCAAUACUACCUAUGAACUGCUUUUGAAAGACAAUGUUGACAAUAAAGCUAAUUUCAUGGGUAAUGUGAUGCCGGCAGUAGAAGAUAAAGGAACUCCACUUAAAUGUAAUAAUUUGUUUGACAAACCUUUCCAAGGUUCAAAAACAAAACUUUGUUCAGACACACCUGAUAUUUUGGAUGAAACAAAACCAGAAGACAAUGAUAUUCUUGAUGAAAAGGAUAAUAUCAGAUUAUUUUCUGACUCAGAAACUACAAUGGGAUCUGUAGCCGGAGGAACAUACUGGGAGCUGCCUGGAAAAGAACUUGUCAUACCUAGAUUUUCCGCUUUGCCUCGGACACUUUCCAUGAUUGUUAAUACAUCAUCUUUGGAUUGUUCCAGUGACAGUGAUCUUAGUUUGGCAGAUAGUCUGGAAGAUAAUAAAAGUGAUGACAAAUCAAAAGGACUAAAAUUGUAUAAUAAAUAUGAUAAUCGUUUGGUUAGAGGUGACAUCAUAGCAUUACUCCCUGAGGAAACUGGAUGUUCUAAAAAAUCAUCAAAAGAACCACAAGCUUAUUUUUUAUCCCUGACAGGAGAAGAAGGCAAAAUAGAAGUAAAACAAAUUCCAGAGGAAUUAAAACAAAAACUUUUAAAACGGAGUAAAGAGGCAAAAAGGCGAUCUGAGCAUUCACUAAAUAGCGCAAAAAAAUGUAAGGGUAAACACUGUUCUAAGAAAAGUAGGAAAUAUCAUAAUCAUCGCUGUACAUCUACUAUAGAAUUCUCACCGAAUAAUAGUUAUCAAAAUACAGAACAUUCUGAAUCAACAGAUAAAAUAUCUAAAUGUACUCAGUGGGAGGAUUUUGGUUCAAGCAAAGACUCAUCCGACACUUUGGUCCCAUCAGAUUUUUCAGAAAGAGAUAAGGAUACAGUGUAUGAUGGAGAAGAAUACAAAACAAAAGAAACAGCAACAUCUCCUUACAUGUGUGACCUAUUACAAAGCCACCAACAGAACACUCUUACUGAUUGGCUUGAAACUAUAAAUAAUAGAUCCACAGAUUUAGAAGAUAGUAAAGUUUCCAACGUGCAUAGAAAUCUCAAUAAAAAUUCUAAAUUAUGUGAUAAUCAGAAUACUACAAGUGGUAUGUCUGAGGCCUCCAAACAUGUAAGCAAAGGGAUUCAAUGUAAAAAUAUGCCUCACAUUGAUUCUGCACUUGAUGAAGAGAUAUCCCAAAUACUGACUGAAACGUUGAAAGGUGACAUGGAAAACCAAGAAAAAGAAGAGCAAUGUAAAUUUAAAUGUAUUGAGCAUCAAGUUCCUUGGUCCAAACAUAUUGAAACUCAAGUUUCUGAAACAGAUUUUUAUGGGAAAAAUAUCUGUGACAAUUAUUACGAGAGUAUGCAAGGUACAAAUAUGGACAUUGACAAUGAUUAUCCAAUAAAAUCUAAAUCGGUACAAACAGUUGAUGGAACAGUAAAACAAAUUGAUCUAGAAAAAGAGCACAAAAAUAACUGUUCACUAACAUACACUAUGCAACAUAAUGAGUCAAACAAAAUUAAACUGAACUUAAGUGGCUCCUUGAAUGACAAAUGUGAUGUAUUCGAUCUAAACAAUAAAUGUUUAAAUGACAUUGUCGAAAACACUGAACGAUGCAAAACCCCCAUUCUAGGUGAAAGGGCUUCAAGCAAAAAUGAAAAUAUGGAAAAGCAGCAAGAAAAAAUCUUUGUUAAUAAGCCUACUGCAAAGUUCAACUUGAAAACUACACCAACACGACGACCAGGCAACUUGAGUAGUAGAUUUAGACAAAAGUUUGAAGUAAUACCAGAAGAAAAAAGUGGUUCAAUGGAUUCUUCCAAUGAUGAAAGAAAAUCACCAUUACCAACAAGAAAUAGAAGAGCUUCUAUGCCCUCAGAAAUGAUAAUGGCAGAUAUAGGAGGGCACAAUGAAAACAAAAGUAGUGACAGCAGUACAAGUAGUAGUAUCGACAAACAAGAAAGUGAAGAGUGUGACCACAUCCGCAAUGUUCAGACAUCUCAAAAUGAAGGCAAUGACUACCACAGGCGACACACUAUACAUGGAAAUUUAACCUCAAGACAUACAAAAAUGGAUUCAUCAAACACCUCAUUUGAGAAAAACGAGCAAUCAAGACGACACACUAUUCACGGGAGCUUAGCUCUUAAUUCCAAAAAUGAAUCCAUGAUUAAACAGUUGAAUUUACUAGGAGGGACAUUACUAAAAGGAAGAGUUUUUGGAAAACAGUCUGGGGUAAUGUUUGGAAGAUUUCGGCCAAUAAAUGAAGAAACACAAGUGCAAAAAGAUGAACGAUCCCUUGUAGAAGAACACUUAGAACGUCUAAGGAGAGAGUCAUCAAAAGGGAGAGAGGCAUUAGCAGUAGCUAAAACUGAAGAACAAGAAGAAUUAGUGACACUUUCAAAAGGAUGGAUUAACUUUUAUUUGUUAAGAGAUAGCCAAGAUUUGGGAUCAGAUGGCAGCAUUGAUGAAGGUUCCCAAGACUUGGCCAAUGAGGAUAAGUCUCGGCGAGCCCCUCCAUCGAUGAAGACUGUGACCGUAGUCAGUAAACCCGAGGAGGAGUUACGACACCAGUACACAGUACAGAUUAAUGCUUCUCCUGAGACUGGCAAACUACCAGACCUCAGCAGCCAGCAUCAUAAAAACUUCAAAACUCCAUCCGUCAGUCCGGAGCUUAUUCUACCGGAUAUCACACCUACUUCUUCACCCCCGACAAGCCCACUGUUACCUGAGAUCCCAAUAUCCAUAAAAUCCGAACUUCCUCAGAUACACUCUAAAAGGCAAGACAAGACAAAAAGAAGUACCAAUGACAAAUUCAAAUCUAAUAAUAAAAAACCUGCAGAGAAGCCUGACAAAAAAGAAAAGAUUCAAACCGGUGAAACAGACCUUCGUUAUUUGAAACUAUCUUCGAUGAAACAGGAACUCCAGACUGAAAAGACAUAUUAUGCAAGGUCAGGGGAAGUAGCCUGCUCUGAACUAUCUCCAUCAAGUAAGUCGUCAUCAUCGUCAGUAACAGCUGACAGCCCAACAUUACCCAGUAUUAAGUGGCCAUCACGUCAGCUGCAGAGACGCUCACACACUCGCCAUUCACGCUCCCAGUCCUCUCAUCCUAACACUCAAGCAUGUUGGACUGUAACAUUGGCGGGCAGCAGUGGACACCCAAGCCAGCCCCCACCUGACGUGGAGAUGAGGCUGAGUUUCUCUAACACAACCAGGGGCCAGGCUACAAGCCAAUCUGACUCUGGACUCGGGGAGGAUGGGCCCAGUGACCGGGGCAAGAAACAGCAAGCUCUACCACCCCCACUGGCUCAGAGCAAUCAGUGGAAAGUUAUGCUGAAGACACAACAAGAAACAGACAGAUCGAGCGACCCACCAAAAGGAGACAAAAGAACAUGUCUGCCAGAUUUCAGCUACACUCCAAGCACAGCUCGAUCCAAAAAAAGUACAAAGAGAGGAGGUCAAGAGGACUCGAGCCGACCACUUUCUGUCAAGGUCCAGGAGAUUCUAGAGCACAACAUUAGUCUGCAUAAAAGUAGUUUCGGAUUGAUUGAAGAUGGCUCUCCAUAGCGAGGAGCAUGAAAUAUUUCAAGAAUAUAUUAUUGUGUAAUCAAUGUUUGGAUUCCUUGAGAACUGGAAGACUUUGAUGUUAGUUAUAACAUUGGCUGGUGUGACAGAAGGAGAGUGGGUGGAGGGGCUGAGUGUAACAGGACUUGCCAUCACGCCAGAGCGCAAGCCUAGAGUGCCUACCAUGAGUGAGCGAGAUCUGACACGUCAGUGGUUCCACCGUUCC